rnacentral:rRNA from 1 species
AGAAUCAACGCUGGCGGCGUGCCUAACACAUGCAAGUCGCACGAGAAAGGGUAGCAAUACCUGAGUAAAGUGGCGCACGGGUGAGUAACACGUGAAUCAUCUACCUCCGAGUGGGGAAUAACCUAGAGAAAUCUGGGCUAAUACCGCAUAACACUUACGAGUCAAAGCAGCAAUGCGCUUGGAGAGGAGUUCGCGGCCGAUUAGCUAGUUGGCGGGGUAAUGGCCCACCAAGGCGAUGAUCGGUAUCCGGCCUGAGAGGGCGCACGGACACACUGGAACUGAAACACGGUCCAGACUCCUACGGGAGGCAGCAGUGGGGAAUUUUGCGCAAUGGGGGAAACCCUGACGCAGCAACGCCGCGUGGAGGAUGAAAUAUCUUGGUAUGUAAACUCCUUUCGAUGGGGAAGAUUAUGACGGUACCCAGUAGAAGAAGCCCGGCUAACUUCGCGCCAGCAGCCGC